UGAGGAAUUUUGCGCAAUGGGGGAAACCCUGACGCAGCAACGCCGCGUGGGCGAUGAAGGCCUUCGGGUCGUAAAGCUCUGUCAGGAGGGACGAAGCCACUCAGGUGAAUAGCCGAGAGGGUGACGGUACCUCCAGAGGAAGCCCCGGCUAACUACGUGCCAGCAGCCGCGGUAAUACGUAGGGGGCGAGCGUUGUCCGGAAUCAUUGGGCGUAAAGCGCGUGUAGGCGGCCAUCCAAGUCCGAUGUGAAAGCUCGGGGCUCAACCCCGAGUCUGCAUUGGAAACUGAAUGGCUUGAGUCCGGAAGAGGAGACUGGAAUUCCUGGUGUAGCGGUGAAAUGCGCAGAUAUCAGGAAGAACACCGGUGGCGAAGGCGGGUCUCUGGGACGGUACUGACGCUGAGACGCGAAAGCGUGGGGAGCAAACA
rnacentral:rRNA from 1 species